GGAGUUUGCUCUCCUAGGUGUAUUACCUAUGACGGCUCACGAGCCCAACCUGCCCGGGUUUUAUGAUCGGAGUUUGCUCUCCUAGGUGUAUUACCUAUGACGGCUCACGAGCCCAACCUGCCCGGGUUUUAUGAUCGGAGUUUGCUCUCCUAGGUGAAUUGCCUACCACGGCUAACGACCUCCACCUGCCCGGGUUUGUAAUCGGAGUUUGCUCUCCUAGGUGAACUGCUUUCGCUAACGACCUCCACCUGCCCGGGUUUGUAAUCGGAGUUUGCUCUCCUAGAUGAAUUGCUUUCGCUAACGACCUCCACCUGCCCGGGUUUGUAAUCGGAGUUUGCUCUCCUAGAUGAAUUGCUUUCGCUAACGACCUCCACCUGCCCGGGUUUGUAAUCGGAGUUUGCUCUCCUAGGUGAAUUGCUUUCGCUAACGACCUCCACCUGCCCGGGUUUGUAAUCGGAGUUUGCUCUCCUA